GAUGAACGCUGGCGGCGUGCUUAACACAUGCAAGUCGAACGAAGCACUUUAUUUGAUUUCCUUCGGGACUGAUUAUUUUGUGACUGAGUGGCGGACGGGUGAGUAACGCGUGGGUAACCUGCCUUGUACAGGGGGAUAACAGUUGGAAACGGCUGCUAAUACCGCAUAAGCGCACAGCAUCGCAUGAUGCAGUGUGAAAAACUCCGGUGGUAUAAGAUGGACCCGCGUUGGAUUAGCUAGUUGGUGAGGUAGCGGCCCACCAAGGCGACGAUCCAUAGCCGACCUGAGAGGGUGACCGGCCACAUUGGGACUGAGACACGGCCCAAACUCCUACGGGAGGCAGCAGUGGGGAAUAUUGCACAAUGGGCGAAAGCCUGAUGCAGCGACGCCGCGUGAGCGAAGAAGUAUUUCGGUAUGUAAAGCUCUAUCAGCAGGGAAGAUAAUGACGGUACCGGACUAAGAAGCACCGGCUAAAUACGU
rnacentral:rRNA from 1 species